CAGAGAACAACCCCCUUUGACUGUAAUUUUCCAUUACCUUCCCAAAUCCUAUAAAACGGCCCCACCCCUAUCUCCCUUCGCUGACUCUCUUUUCGGACUCAGCCCACCUGCACCCAGGUGAAAUAAACAGCUUUAUUGCUCACACAAAGCCUGUUUGGUGGUCUCUUCACAUGGAUGCUCAUGAAAUUUGGUGCCGUGACUUGGAUCGGGGGACCUCCCUUGGGAGAUCAAUCCCCUGUACUCCUGUUCUUUGCUCCAUGAGAAAGAUCCACCUAUGACCUCAGGUCCUCAGACCGACCAGCCCAAGGAACAUCUCACCAAUUUUAAAUCAGAUCUUCUCGGCUUAGCGGCUGAAGAUUGACACUGCCCAAUCGUCUCGGAAGCCCCCUAGACCAUCACAGACGCCGAGCUUCGGGUAACUCUCACAGUGGAAGAAGGCAGGAAUGUCAGGCCUCUGAGCCCAAGCCAAGCCAUCGCAUCCCCUGUGACUUGCACAUAUAGGCCCAGAUGGCCUGAAGUAACUGAAGAAUCACAAAAGAAGUGAAAAGGCCCUGCCCCGCCUUAACUGAUGACAUUCCACCACUGUGAUUUGUUCUUGCCCCACCUUAACUGAGUGAUUAACCCUGUGAAUUUCCUUCUCCUGGCUCAGAAGCUCCCCCACUGAGCACCUUGUGACCCCCGCACCUGCCCACCAGAGAACAACCCCCUUUGGCUGUAAUUUUCCAUUACCUUCCCAAAUCCUAUAAAAUGGCCCCACCCCUAUCUCCCUUCGCUGACUCUCUUUUGGGACUCAGCCCACCUGCACCCAGGUGAAAUAAACAGCUUUAUUUCUCACACAAA
rnacentral:lncRNA from 10 species